AUGGCCACCGAGCGCCUCGCCCUGCUGGCCCUGCUGGCCCUGCUGGCCGCGCCCGGGCUCCGGGCGGCCGUGACCCUGCUGGAGUCCGGCGGCGACCUCCGGCCCCCCGGCGGGUCCCUGCGCCUCCUCUGCCGCGCCUCGGGCCCCGCCCCUCCCGCCGCCAUCGUCUGGGUGCGGCAGCGCCGCGGCGCCGGCCUGGAGAUGCUGGCGGGGGUCUCCGCCCGAGGGGAGGCGGCGCCGGGCGGCGCCGGCGGGAGGUUCCGGGCCGAGGGCGGCGGCGCCUGGGCGGCGCUGGCGGCCGACGGGCUGGAGGACGGCGAUUCCGGCGCCUAUUUCUGCGGCGCUCACGGCGGCGCCGGGCUGAGGGGAGGGGUGGCGGGAAACCGGCACAGGGGGGCCGCCGCCCUGGCCCCGGAUCUGUUCCCGCUGUCGCCGUGCGGCGCCGGCUCGCGCUUCUCCGUCGGCUGCCGAAUUUUCAUCCAAUUCCGGCUGAAUUCCCUCAAAAUUCCCGCUGAAUUUCCGUGGAAUUUUUCCGCCGCCCUGGCCCCGGAUCUGUUCCCGCUGUCGCCGUGCGGCGCCGGCUCGCGCUUCUCCGUCGGCUGCGUCGCCGUCGGCUUCUUCCCGGCGCCGCUCGACUUCUCCUGGAGCGACCGGCACAACGGCAGCGUGGCCGCCGGCGCCGCCGCCGCCUUCCCGGCCGCGCCGCGCUCCGGAACGUUCCUGGCGGCCUCGCGCCUCGGCAUGGAGCUGGAGGAGGGGAAGUCCCGGCAGCCCUUCCGGUGCCACGCCCGGCACGCCCGCGGCAGCCGCAGCGCCGAGGUGUCGAACCCAGGUCCCGGCGCGCCGGCGCCGGCGCCGCCGGAGCUCACGCUGCGCCCGCCGUCCCGCGAGGAGUUCCAGGGGCCCUACCGCAACGCCACCCUCCUCUGCCAAAUCCGGGGGGCCCGGCGCGGCCUCGGCGCCGCCCCCAUCCGGUGGCUCCGCAACGGCGCCCCGGUGCGCGACGGCGUCACCGCCGAGGCGCCGGCGCCGGAAGGUUCCGGGCUCUUCGUGGCCGGCAGCCGGCUGGUGGUGACGGAGACCGAGUGGGAGAGCGGCGUCGUGUUCACGUGCCAGGCCGGCGAGGAGAUGAAGAACACCAGCAAGCCCAUGGAGUGCGGAUACGACCAACCCCUGGCCGCCGGCGACAUCCGGGUGGAGGUGGUGCCGCCGCUCUUCGCCGACAUCUUCCGCGACCAGGCGGCGCGGCUGACGUGCCGCGUCUCCAACCUGGCGGCGGGCGCCGAGGGCCUGGAGGUGGCGUGGCUCAAGGAGGACGGCGAGGCCCUGGCCACCGAGACGUCGGCGCCGACGCCGCAGCCCAACGGGGUCCUGGUGGCCGAGGGCGUGGCCUCGGUGAGCGUCGAGCUCUGGGAGUCGGGCCAGGAGUUCCGGUGCCGCGUGUCGCACCCGGAGCUGCUCUUCCCCAAGGAGGUGCCCAUGAGGAAGACCAUGACCUCCUCGGCCUCGCCGCCCUCGCUCUACCUCCUGCCGCCGCCGCCGGAGCAGCUGCGCCGGCGCGCCGACGCCACGCUCACCUGCCUGGCGCGCGACUUCCGCCCGCCCGACCUGCUCGUCCAAUGGCUGCAGGACGGCCGGCCCCUCCCCGAGGGCCGCGCCCUCACCUUCCGGCCGCGCCCCGAGCCCCGCCCGGGCCACGCCCAGACCUACCUGAGCGUCAGCACCUUGACGGUGCCGGCGCGCGACUGGGAGGGCGGCGCCGUCUUCACCUGCCUGGUGGGGCACGAGCGGCUGCCGAUGCGGCUGGCGCAGCGGUCGCUGGACAGAGCCGCCGCGCUGCUCGCCGGCGCCGCCCUGGAGGAGGACGAGGAUCUGCGCAACCUCUGGGCCACGGCCUCGACCUUCAUCGUCCUCUUCAUCCUCAGCCUCUUCUACAGCGCCACCGUCACCCUCAUCAAGGUGAAGUGAAGCCGAAGGCGCCGGAAAAUCCCGGGAAUUUUCCCCUCCCCCACCCCGCGGGAAUUCCCAAAAA